GGAUCAAACUCAACUUUCUUUACCCUUGACAUGUCCUCAAACUUUACCUAUAUAUACCUAGACCUUAAAAGGGUGCGCUAUGAAGGAAAAUAUUUUUUAAAAGACAUCUUGAUGCAUUAAAGUUUCUGCUACGCUCAGAGUCGGAGGAAACGUUGGACCACAAAAAUAUAUUGCAACUUUAUCUGAUAUUUCUCCUAGAGAUUGUUUUCACGGAUUGAACUUGUGAUCUUUUGUCAUAUGGCAGCAAGUUUACCACUCCAAGGCUCCACUUAUGAAUGAAAAAGUUUUGUUGAAACUUUUUUUUUAGGAAAAAUAAAUGGUCGGUUUCUUACUUAUUUUCUCGUGUUUGGCACAUAUGUGAAAAAUAUCAUAUAACGAUGUAUUGGUAUAGCCUCAGUUGGUGUCCGGGCACGUGUUACACUCAUGAUUACAUCUGAUCCAAGGCCAAAAGAUACUUAUCACUGGUUAUUACUUGGAAGUCCCAAUUUGGGAUCGGACCGUGUAUAUGGAUAUCCCAAUGGUCCCUCCGUUUGUGAGCCAUAGUGUCGAAUGAGGGGUGUUCCACAUGAUUCCUUCCUUUAUCAGCCACGAGACUGGAGGAAGUGUAUUCACUAUGGUUAGACAUGGCACUCAUCUCAUGUUGCAUCACUUGGUUUUCCAUCGCACUCAUGUAUUCAUAUGCACUGGCUUGCUAGUAUGAUUGUUGUUUGAUACCUGUCAUGCUUUAACGGGGAUGAUCGGGUUAUAUUUGUUGUUUGUACCUGUUGUGUUUAUGGGGGUCAGUUGGGUUUUGUGUUUUAUUUUGCACCUUUGAAUUUAUGGGGGCCUGAUUAUGCUAUCAUUGAUUAUUACUUUUAUCUUUUGACAAGUUGGUUAUUGGCAUGUACUCGCGGUGUAGAUAUUUCUUGUGGUCUCCCCCCUUUUAGCAUUUUCAGUUUUAGUGUUAGAUUUUUUCUAUUGUUUCUUUUGUCUUAGGUAGAAACUCUGAGCAAACUUCUAACAUUAUUCUUCCUUAAUAUGAUUCUUAUUGUAUUAGAAUGUUAGGCUAGCUCCUGCAGGUAUGUAAUUUCUUUUUGGUUAGUUUGUUUCUCAUUUCCUUCGAGUCAGCAGAUUUCUUUAUGUUAGAUACAUUGCAUAUUAUGUCUUUUAUGUUAUUUAUACUUGCAUUAUCUUUAGAACUCUGUUAGCCUAAGCCUAUUGAGUACCGCAUGUUUUGAUACUUAUACUAUAUUUCUGCAUCUUUUUUUCUUGAUGCAAAUCCUAGUAUGAGUUCUCAGCGCUGAAGUGUUCUUCAUGCAGAGUUAUCUAGGACUAGAGAUUUGAGGUGAGCUCCUGAUGUUCGGAGUUUUCUUGAUGAUGGUUAGUUUGAUCAUCAGAAAACUUUCUAAAGACUAACUUUAGCAUAAGAAAGGGAAGCAUGCGUUGACAAACUAUUUGACAUACGACGGAUCUAGCAAAUUGAUGUCAUAGGCAAUCUUCCUAGUCUAAGAGCAUCUUGAAAUCGAAAGUUCACACUUAGCGUGAAGGAAAGUGCUUCUACUUUUUCUGAGCCCUCCAUAUUCCUUCUCCCUCUAUUUGGUUGACUGAUCUUUAUUUUGCAUUUCUGAGACGGUGAUGUAUUAUAUUGUAUUGCUUAGUAAUCCUAUACCAACUAUACCAGGUCUUGGGGGUAUUUUGGAUAGUUUGGCUUUUCAUGCUCUUUUAUCUAUGUAGUUUGUGGGCUCUAUUUUUUGUGUUUAUAUUAUAUUUAGCCCGAUUGCUUCGUGAUUUGUUUCCUUUUUUAAUCGGCUCGUUACUUAUUGUUUCGGGUUAUGGAGCUCGACUUAUCUACUGGUGAAUUUUAAAAGAUGUC
rnacentral:lncRNA from 1 species